ACCCAAGUCCAGAGGGCCCCCUCCAAAUGUCCAGGUUCUUCUCUCCAAGGCCCGGGGUUGGGAGCUUCAGUCAUGAGCGAGAUCUAAUUUCUUCCUGCGCUAUGGGUAAAUUUCAAUGCAAGGAACAUGGCCUAACCCCUAGGAUCUCUCCAAGGAAAUGAGCUCGGGCUCGUUGUCAUGAUGUCCUGGAAGGUACCCAGAGAACUCCACGGGGAGUGCCUUGAGCCCAACUAGAACCACGUCCCUUAACCAGCAGCAUUCAAGCUAUAGGUAACCAGUACAGCUACAUCAGAAUCUCAGAUUGCUGGGCCCAUUAUAAAUAAAGGCAUGUGCCACUCCAGAAUUUUCAAUUCAUCAUUGCCACCACCCACUGUUGAGAGUGUUUCUAGCUUCCAGUGCCAGAAGCAAAGAUACUGGGAAGAAAAAAUGACCAUGGUUCAUGAAAAAAUAGGCUGCAAGAAAAGUGGGACCAGAAACUUUAAAAACUUUACCACUGGCAAGAUAUUCCUCUUCUUACCCACAUCAGGUAUCUUUUGUGUGUGUGUUUGGAUGAUCAGACUAUUAUUUUUGUCUGUGGAACAUUCAGUCCGCCUUCUUCUGGUAACAGCGUAUCAAUUUUCCUUGGAAAACUCACCUCUAUUCCAUUAUUAAUUCAAGUGGUACAGGUGGGGCCCACCUCACCCCCUGCUUGCCUGAGGAAGGAACUCAUGACUAGGCCUAGCCAAUCAGAGCGUUCCAUCUUUCUUCCUACACUGACUGGUUUUAGGAAGGACAUGUAAAUCAAGCUGAGAUGGUUAGACUCUCUUGAUUGAAUAUAAAGCUGAACGUGUCAGCAGCCAUCACAAGGGAG